UUAUAGAUACAGCAAGAGCCUAUAUAACACCUCACAUCACAAAGAACGAUCCCUUCAGAGAAGUGCCGCAUUGAAAUAACAGUCAUGAGGCCGCCUUCUGAGAUAAAUGCUGGAGUUUGGCUCUAAAUGCCAACAUCCUUAGCUAAUCUAAGUAAUGCAUGCGCAGGAAGAAUUUGGUGGCCGGGAGCCCAAGUGGAGUUGUAUAAAGAACUCUUAAGAGCAGCUAGUAACCUCUGAGCAGUAGGCCCAAGUGCAUGACAUGGAUACUGAGGCUCAGGGAAAGUGACCAACUCAAUUUCAGGACUGAAGUGGGAGGAGUAGUGAGAUUCCUGGUCCAAACUCAGGGAGUCUUGACCACCCCAGGUCAGCCUCUCCUCAGCCAAGAGUGAUGAUUGACAAAGGCCUCUGUCCUGUUCCGGCUCCCUGGGUCUCUCUGCAGCUGUUAGCAGCUGGGGAAGGAAUCCCUGAGGACUGGGAGUGCUCUGCUGCCCACACUGGGCCAGACGUCUGCCCUUGAACCAAUCAGCUGUGGCCAGGAGGCAGGGCAACUACAGAUGAUGGCAGCUCUUUCAAUAAAGCAAGUGGAUGGAGCCAAAGGGAGGAGCAUUUCUAAAACUGGAAGCCAUCCCUAUACCAAAUAUGCUAAAAGAGAAAGUGAAAAUGUGGCUUGAAAACUCCAGUUUAAAGAAGGGGAGUGGCAUGAUCUAGUUUUUAAUUUUUCAAGAUCCCUCUGGAGGCUGGGUGGCACAGGAUGUGGAAAGGAGGCAGGGCUGGAAGCAGGGAGAAUGGAGCCUCUACUGUAGUCCAGGCCCAAGAGGCCUGUGGCUCUGUGCGGGGGAGGCGGGGCAGAGAUGGCAAGUACAGUUGAUAGCACUUGAAUGUCAGGAGUAAAUGGCAAGAGCAAGUCCAUAAACUGUCCCAGUUUGGGGCUUCACUAAUUACUUUCAAAAGUUUUAUCUUCAGCUUCUUUUCCCUAAGUGGUUUACUGACUGAUUCUUUUUUAUUCUUUUAAUAUAUAUCGUGCUUAUUCAUUUCUUUUUUAAGAGAGGGGAAGGGGCAGAGGGAGAGAGAGAGAAUCUUAA